rnacentral:tRNA from 1 species
AAAUAAGAAGUAAUUAUUUUACAUAUUAAUUUCGACUUAAUAAUAGAUUUUAAAUCCUUAUUUU